AUGACUGAAUACAGUUUUACCCAAGCUGGUGUAGAUAUUUCACUCAUAGCUGCUCCUCCCUCACCGACUCUGACUCCAUCCACACUGAAAGUGAAGGAGGGAGCCUCAGUGAGUCUGACGUGCUCUGCUCCAGCUCCAUGUUGGUCUCAUCCUCCAGCUCUGACAUGGAGCCCUAACCUGGGUCAGAGUCAGGAGACACUGCAGGAGAAUCAGGACAAAACUAAAGUCAGGACCUCUGUUAUGAAUUUCACUGCUUCUCACCUCCAUCAUGGAAAUAAAAUCUCCUGCACUGCUGUCUACAAGAAACAAGAUGGUAGCCCUGAUGUCACUGCUGAAGCAAGUUUAACUCCUGAUAUUUCAUAUUCACCCAAAGAUGUACAAAUUUCCAUCAGUCCUUCUGCUCCAAUAUUAGAAAACCAAAAAGUGACUCUGACCUGCAGCAGUAAUGCCAACCCAGCAGUAGAAAACUACACCUGGUACAGAGCUGAUGGAGACCAGGAGACUUUUAUUGGGACUGGAAGCUCUUUUAAUGUUACCGUUUCAAAAGUCAAAAGUACAUUUUUCUGCAAGGCUACAAAUGAACUUGGAUUUAAACGAUCAAGCAACCUACAAAUAAAUGUUCAAUAUUCACCUAAAAACGUCACAGUUUCAGUCAGUCCUUCUGGUCCAGUACCAGAGAACCGCAACGUGACUCUGACCUGCAGCAGUAAUGCCAACCCAGCAGUAGAAAAAUACAUGUGGUACAGAGCUGAUGGAGACCAGGAAAAUUAUAUUGGGACAGGAACUAGUUUAAGUACUAAAGUCUCCAGAGACAAAAGAAGAUUUUUGUGCAAGGCUGAAAAUGAGAUCGGGGUUGGACGUUCUAACCUGACUCACCUUGAUGUUCUGUAUUGUGAAACACAGUGUGGAUUUUACAGUGGAGUCCUUCCUUGGGUCCUUGCUGGUGUGUUUUUCAGUGUCAGCGUGAUCUGUGCAGCUUUCCUUUGCAAAGUACAAAAGAAUGUGAAGCCACAAGAAGAGGACAGAACUUACAUGUCACUGAAUCGUAGAAAUGUUGGCUCUUCAGAGUAUGAUGUCAUUAACACAACUCCAAAGUGACCUUCACUGAUCCUUCAGGAUCUAUCUAAUUUUGUUUUAUUUUGUGUUUCCAGAGAAAUAAUUCUCAGUCACACUUCUCUUUAUUAAAUGCAUUUAAUAGCAACUGAGCGCUUAUUCAUCAGUUUUUUAAAGGGUGCUGGAGUUGCUCAGUUAAGUGGGAUUGAGCAAAUCCAGCAGAAAAUGCUUCCUAAAGCUUUGAUACUGACUAUAAUCCUGUUUGUUGAUAAUGUAAAUUCAUAUUAAACUUAACAGCUUAUAGUGUUUUUCUUUGGGGUUUUUUUUUUUAUAAUAUUUUCAUUUUGCAUUCGAUGUGAAAAAGCUGGGGCAGGGACAUGAUUAUCAGUAGGUCACAUAAGCUUUUAACAGCACUGUUUAGAAAAUAGAGACAUUAGUGAUCU